GGCGCGCGGGUACCUCCUCGGGGGCGCGCGACCGGACUGUCGUCCUUCCCCCCGCAACUCCCUCACGCGUCCGCUCCGGAGCCUGGGGAGGGAGAGCGCAGGCGCGGGGAGCUGGAGCCGGGCGCCGCCGGCGCCGCCGCUGCCGCCGCCGCCGCCGAGGCUUAACGUCUCGCUCGCUCGCGCAGCGGCGGCAGCAGAGGUCGCGCACAGAUGCGGGUUAGACUGGCGGGGGGAGGAGGCGGAGGAGGGAAGGAAGCUGCAUGCAUGAGACCCACAGACUCUUGCAAGCCGGAUGCCCUCUGUGGAUGAAAGAUGUAUCAUGGAAUGAACCCGAGCCAUGGAGAUGGAUUUCUAGAGCAGCAGCAGCCUCAGUCCCCCCAGAGACUCUUUUGGCCGUGAUCCUGUGGUUUCAGCUGGCGCUGUGCUUCGGCCCUGCACAGCUCACGGGCGAGCCUGAGGGUCUUUCUGCCACCACUGCCCUUUGCUGUCCAUUCCAGACUUCCUGUGAGAGCUUGCUGAUGUGGGCAUAUUAAGAGGACAGAAUCAUGUUUCUGGAGCUGAAAAACUGUUAAUCUACAAAUAAAUUAUAAUUGGUGGAAAAGCAGGUAUUGAUUGAUACAAGUAAACCAUUUUAGUGUUUUAAAAUAUUGCCGUUUUAGAGAAUUCAAAGGUGAAGAUGGAAAUAAUGGGUGAAAAAUUAGUAGAGGUGGGGAGGGCACUACCAAGUUGGGCUUUAACACAGAGGAAUCAAUAACCCAGGUGUUGCACUUAGAGGUCUGAGAGAUGCCAGGAGUCUAAACGAGCUUCCUGUGAUGUGCAUAUUUAUCGGAAUUAGUGCGAAAACACUCACUUUGGGUGGGGGACCCGGUUUUGGUUUUUCAACAAGGGGUAACUUUUUUGGUGCUCCCUUUUUUUACAGAAAUGUCUCUGAGGCAGGUGUCCUCUUCAUCGAGGACAAGGUCAAGUGGGAUGCCAGGCCAGCACCUGUGUGGCCUGCCAGGGCUCUGGUCACAGCCUCUGUCCGCCCGUGAGCUUUAGCUCCACUUGGAGGGUGAGUGGGACCAGGUGGGCAGGACAGCCUCGAGCAGGGCCUGGUCAUCACCUCCCCUCUUCUCUUUUCUUGCCUCCAGCUCUAGCUGUCAUUUCCUUAAACCAGGUGCACGUGAUUCUCCAUCCUCUCUGUUCCU